rnacentral:rRNA from 1 species
GGGAAAUUUAGUACCGAAGUUCCUGAUUCCACACUGCCUAGAAAAUCCUCUAGUGAGGUGAAAGGUGCCCGUACCGCAAACCGACACAGGUAGGCGAGGAGAGAAUCCUAAGGUGAGCGAGAGAACUCUCGUUAAGGAACUCGGCAAAAUGACCCCGUAACUUCGGGAGAAGGGGUGCUCUGUUAGGGUGCAAGCCCGAGAGAGCCGCAGUGAAUAGGCCCAGGCGACUGUUUAGCAAAAACACAGGUCUCUGCGAAGCCGUAAGGCGAAGUAUAGGGGCUGACGCCUGCCCGGUGCUGGAAGGUUAAGAGGAGAGGUUAGUCGCAAGACGAAGCUUUGAAUUGAAGCCCCAGUAAACGGCGGCCGUAACUAUAACGGUCCUAAGGUAGCGAAAUUCCUUGUCAGGUAAGUUCUGACCCGCACGAAAGGCGCAACGAUCUGGGCACUGUCUCAACGAGAGACUCGGUGAAAUUAUAGUACCUGUGAAGAUGCAGGUUACCCGCGACAGGACGGAAAGACCCCGUGGAGCUUUACUGCAGCUUGAUAUUGAAUUUUGGUACAGCUUGUACA